UACGUAGGGGGCGAGCGUUGUCCGGAAUCAUUGGGCGUAAAGCGCGUGUAGGCGGCUCAGUCAGUCUGGUGUGAAACCUUGGGGCUCAACCCCAAGCCUGCACUGGAUACUGCUGAGCUUGAGUCCGGGAGGGGAGAGCGGAAUUCCUAGUGUAGCGGUGAAAUGCGCAGAUAUUAGGAAGAACACCGGUGGCGAAGGCGGCUCUCUGGAACGGUACUGACGCUGAGACGCGAAAGCGUGGGGAGCGAACAGGAUUAGAUACCCGGUAGUCC
rnacentral:rRNA from 1 species